GUUUCCUGCAGGUUCAACGGGGACAGAACAAGUGCGGCAGGACCCGCAGGCCGUUCUCCGAGUCCUGCUUCCUUCCCUCCUCUUCUGCCCGCUGGCUCUCGGAGCCAUGCUCUGCUCCCUGGCAGCGUGCCUGGCCAUCUCAGGCACUCCUGACACUACUGGACCUGUGGUGCGAUUCCUGUCUGGAAGAAGAGUGAGCGUGCCGUAGUGUCCCUGAGAAGUCUGUCAGCAGCCCGGAGCCUCUGCUGUCAGCUAUCCUGGUGUCACCUACCACGCCGGAACGGUUUCACAUCUGAAGGAGGGUGGCCUUGAUCCUGAGGACCCAAACUGGUGCAUAAGGACUUUUACUGGAUACUCUUCCACUGACGACCCGACAUGGACUCACAGACUCUCUGAGGGUCACUGGAUUCUGCAGAAUGGUGUGUCUUCUGGUGUUUCCACUCACUAGACAAGCUCUGCAGGAAGACAAGCUAAGCCUUGGAAAGCAGAGUAAAGCAAAUGACCCUUGUCUACAGAAAUGCAAGUGCAUUUCCUCGGUAGAGAUUUGGCUGACUUCCAUCCUAUAGACAAGUUAACCCCAAACAUUGUAUCUGACUGCUGACUGCACUCCGGACCUGAACCAGGGUUGCGUCCAUGAGCAGAUCCACUGCUGUGUCCCUGACUGUGUGUCUGUGUGUUCUUCAGACUGUCCUUUACACGGACUCCAGC